rnacentral:lncRNA from 1 species
AUUUGCUCGAACCAAAUCUUAAAAUCCUGGCUUGUUGAAGACGGAUCUUAAUAGAUCCGUCCGGGUUAGUUCCUCUUUUUAGAAUUUUCUAUUAUAUAUGUUAAAUUUAUACAUGAAGAAACCAUGAUGUUCAUACAUGUGUAUUCUAGGUGGAUUUCAUUUUUUUUUGUUUUAUGAUUCAUUGUGAGUUUCUGAUCGUUUGAAUAGUCGUACAUUUUAGUUAUGUGAUUUUAGAUUGGUUUAUCACGCUGCCCAGAACUUCAAAAUUGUGUUACAUGCCGGGAUAUACUAUACUUUAUGAUCGUUGAGAAUAAAUGCUAAUACUGAUAAGAGUUUCUCGUAAAGGAUAAAAUCGACAAAGAUUUACACCCAAUUUUGACCGACCUAUAACCAAUUUCGGAAAUGCUAUUCGAUUAAAUACUUAUUUUCAAAUAUAUUUCAAGUUUAAAAUUUUAGUCAAUUUUAUCUAAAAAUUAUACAUUCAGUAUGCUUGAUUUGUAAGAAAUAUUAAAUUAUUUUAUUAUUAUACUUAUCGAUAGUUAAACUCGAAAUAAUUACUUUAUUUAAAUAUUUUAAAAUCUUAGAUGUGUUCAAUUAUAUGAAGAUAUUUUAAUAUGUGUAGUAUUUUUUAUUAAUUGAAUAGCAUUUUUCUUAAUUUUCCUCGAAAUUGUUUAAAUUGUAGCCUAUUAUUUUCUAAUUUCUUUCAAUUUUAGCCACCUCAAUUUUAUUUCAAUUACAACCACCUUUUCAUUUCAAUUCUAGUCAUAUGCAUUUCAAUUCUAGCCAUUCCAAUUCUUCAAUUCAAUCUGAUUUUAAUUUUCAGCUUUUAAUCCUAACCGUCCAUCAUUUAAGUUAAACCCUAAAUCAAUACUAGCCGCUCAUCUAAUUUCUUUUAACGGAUGAGAUUAAAUCAAUUAUUUUUUUCCUAUUCUAAUUAUCAAAAACACCAACCCUAACAUAAUGAUUUUUCUUUCCUCUCUCCCUCUCUAGCAGUCGCCUCUCUCUCUCUCUCCUUCCCAUCCGUCUCCGGCGAAAAUCGCCACCACCAAGAGGCAGCCGCUGGUCUCCAUCUCUCCCCUCGCCUCUUCUCCGUUCUCUCCUCUCUCAGCUAGCAGCAACAACAACUGCUCAGACCAGCAGCUCCGUCCGGCGACCAGCAGCACCAGUAGCAGCCACAACCAGCGAGCAGCAGCUCCAACCGGCGAGGACAGCCACCAGCAGUUCCAGCCGGUGACAACAACUCCACCGGACAACAGGUCACCGACAAGGAGAAGCAGCAGCUCCGACAACCAACAGCAACAGCAAGCACCGAACAGGUCUGGCAAACUCCAGCAGCAAACAACUCCGGCCAGCGACUGGUGAAGCCAUCGCGAAGAGAAGCUCCGGAAACGAAGGCGACAACAACGACGUUGCUCGAACCAGCGUGCUCCGGCGAGAUGGAACACCUUGGACAGCAUUUGCUCGAACCAAAUCUUAAAAUCCUGGCUUGUUGAAGACGGAUCUUAAUAGAUCCGUCCGGGUUAGUUCCUCUUUUUAGAAUUUUCUAUUAUAUAUGUUAAAUUUAUACAUGAAGAAACCAUGAUGUUCAUACAUGUGUAUUCUAGGUGGAUUUCAUUUUUUUUUGUUUUAUGAUUCAUUGUGAGUUUCUGAUCGUUUGAAUAGUCGUACAUUUUAGUUAUGUGAUUUUAGAUUGGUUUAUCACGCUGCCCAGAACUUCAAAAUUGUGUUACAUGCCGGGAUAUACUAUACUUUAUGAUCGUUGAGAAUAAAUGCUAAUACUGAUAAGAGUUUCUCGUAAAGGAUAAAAUCGACAAAGAUUUGAUCUCCUAUGAUUUUGUUGGUAGUUGGAUCAUUUGGUAAAUCGAUUAAUAUUGGUGGUUUCUAAUGCUAAACUGCUCAUAAUUCGGUUAUUCCAUUUAUGAAGAUUUGUAGAUUGUCUUGCUAAAGGCUCGAUUUAAUAGUAUAAUGGUAAUCGAUUUUAGUAUUAACUUAUUAAUAUAUGGAUGUUAAUAUUUAACUGUAGUGUUCCUCCC